ACUACGCUGGCGGCGUGCUUACACCUGCAGUCCCGAACGAACUUCGGGUUAGUGGCGGACGGGUGAGUAACGCGUGAGAAUCUGCCCUCAGGAGGGGGACAACAGCUGGAAACGGCUGCUAAUACCCCAUAUGCCGCGAGGUGAAAUGAAUUUCGCCUGAGGAUGAGCUCGCGUCUGAUUAGCUAGUUGGUGUAGGUAAUGGCUCACCAAGGCAUCGAUCAGUAGCUGGUCUGAGAGGAUGAUCAGCCACACUGGGACUGAGACACGGCCCAGACUCCUACGGGAGGCAGCAGUGGGGAAUUUUCCGCAAUGGGCGAAAGCCUGACGGAGCAACGCCGCGUGAGGGAUGAAGGCCUCUGGGCUGUAAACCUCUUUUAUCAAAGGAAGAAGAUCUGACGGUACUUGAUGAAUAAGCCACGGCUAAUUCCGUGCCAGCAGCCGCGGUAAUACGGGAGUGGCAAGCGUUAUCCGGAAUUAUUGGGCGUAAAGCGUCCGCAGGCGGCCCUUCAAGUCUGCUGUUAAAAAGUGGAGCUUAACUCCAUCAUGGCAGUGGAAACUGUUUGGGCUUGAGUGUGGUAGGGGCAGAGGGAAUUCCCGGUGUACGGUGAAAAUGCGUACAUAUCGGGAAGAACACAGUGGCGAAGGCGCUCUGCUGGGC
rnacentral:rRNA from 1 species